GUGUCAGCCGCCGCGGUAAUACGUAGGGCGCGAGCGUUGUCCGGAUUUAUUGGGCGUAAAGAGCUCGUAGGCGGUUUGUUGCGUCUGCUGUGAAAACGCGGGGCUUAACUUCGCGCGUGCAGUGGGUACGGGCAGGCUAGAGUGCGGUAGGGGAGAUUGGAAUUCCUGGUGUAGCGGUGGAAUGCGUAGAUAUCAGGAGGAACACCGAUGGCGAAGGAAGGUCUCUGGGCCGUUACUGACGCUGAGGAGCGAAAGCGUGGGGAGCAAACAGGAUUAGAUACCCUGGUAGUCCACGCCGUAAACGAUGAGUACUAGGUGUAGGAGGUAUCGACCCCUUCUGUGCCGCAGUAAACACAAUAAGUACUCCGCCUGGGAAGUACGAUCGCAAGAUUAAAACUCAAAUGAAUUGACGG
rnacentral:rRNA from 1 species